rnacentral:rRNA from 1 species
GUGGUCAGACCAAUAAGGGCGCACGGCGGAUGACUUGGCGUCGAGAGGCGAUGAAGGACGUUGGAACCUGCGAUAAGCCACAGGGAGCUGGUAACCGAGCUGUGAUCUGUGGAUUUCCGAAUGGGGCAACCCACCCUUCGGGGUAUCGCGUGCUGAAUGCAUAGGUACGCGAGGCGAACGCGGGGAACUGAAACAUCUCAGUACCCGUAGGAAAGGAAAGCAACAGCGACUCCGUGAGUAGCGGCGAGCGAAAGCGGAUCAGACCCAGUGAACCGGUUGGAAUGCCGGACCAGAGAAGGUGAAAGUCCUGUAGCGGGUCGCUCAGCCCAUAGAGUAGGCUCGGGCUCGUGGAACCCGGGUUGAAGACGGGGGGUCCACCCUCCAAGGCUAAGUACUCCUCGACGACCGAUAGCGAACCAGUAAGGUGACUGAAUGUUGAAAACCACCGCGAUGAGCGGGGUGAAAGAGUAGCUGAAACCGUGCGCUUACAACCAGUCGGAGCCCUUCGGGGUGACGGCGUGCUUUUUGCAUAAUGAGCCCGCGAGUUAGUCUCAUCGGCGAGCCUAAGGUCUACCGGACCGGAGGCGAAGGGAAACCGAGUCUGAACAGGGCGUUGAGUCGAUGGGGCUAGACACGAAACCCGUGCGAUCUACCCAUGGCCAGGGUGAAGGUGGGGUAAAGCCCACUGGAGGCCCGAACCCGUUAUCGUUGAAAAGAUAUGGGAUGAGCUGUGGGGAGGGGUUAAAGUCCAAUCAAGCCGGGAGAUAGCUUGUUCUCGCCGAAAUAACUUUAGGGUUAGCCUCAGAUAGCAACCGUCGGGGGUAGAGCUACUGGAUGGACGGUGGGCCCUUCCUGGGUACCCCUUUCAACCAAACUCCGAAUACCGACGGCCAAGGUCUGGGAGAUAGUCCGCGAGUGACAAUAUCCGCGGACAAAAGGAGAAGAAUCCAGACCGCCGGCUAAGGUCCCAGAACCCGACUUAGUUCAUAAGGAAGUCAGAUUGCUUAGACACCCGGGAUGUUGGCUUAGAAGCAGCCAUCAUUUAAAGAGUGCGUAAUAGCUCACCGGGCGAGGAGUCUGGCGCCGAUAAUAAUCGGGAAUAAGUCGGGUGCCGAAGCCGCGGACGCGAGAGCGUGGUAGGCGAGCGUUCCACAGGCGGUGAAGCGGGUCCGUAAGGGCUCGUGGAGCGUGUGGAAGUGCAUAUGCGGGCUUGAGUAACGAUAAUGCAGGUGAGAAUCCUGCACGCCGAAAGCACAAGGUUUCCUGGGGAAGGUACAUCCGCCCAGGGUUAGCCGGGACCUAAGGCGAGGCCGAAAGGCGUAGUCGAUGGACAGCAGGUUAAUAUUCCUGCGCUCUCCGGUGAACGGAUCGUGGAGUCCCCCUGCCUUAUUAGAUUGGUAGGCCGCAAGGCCGCUGGGGGAUGAUGCGGUUCCAAGAAAAAGCCGGUUUAGACCCGUACCAAAACUGACACAGGUGUGCGUGGCGAAUAGCCUCAGGCGCUCGAGAGAACGGUUGCGAAGGAACUAGGCAAAUUAACCCCGUACGUUCGCAAGAAGGGGGCCCUUCGGGGCGCAGAGAAAAGGCUCUGGGAACUGUUUAUCAAAAACACAGCACUGUGCAAACUGGCAACAGGAAGUAUACAGUGUGACGCUUGCCCAAUGCCGGAAUGUCACGGAACCGGGUCAGCUUCGGCGAAGCUCGGAACCCAAGCACCGGUCAAUGGCGGCCGUAACUAUGACGGUCCUAAGGUAGCGAAGUUCCUUGUCGGGUAAGUUCCGACGCGCAUGAAUAGUGUAAUCACUGGAGCACUGUCUCCGCAACCGACUCGGUGAAAUAGUAGUGACGGUGAAGAUGCCGUCUACCCGCGGCAAGACGGAAAGACCCCGUGGACCUUCACUGCAGGCUUCUGUUGGUCACGAGCACAUGAUGCGUAGCAUAGGUGGGAGGCUUUGAAGCCGGCGUUUCGGCGCCGGUGGAGCCACAGGUGAAAUACCACCCUUCCUGAGUUUGUGGCCUAACCCCGAUUCCCUUGAACCAGGGCGGGGGACAGCGGGUGCUGGGUAGUUUGACUGGGGCGGUCUCCUCCGAAAGAGUAACGGAGGAGCGCAAAGGUCGGCUCAGCGCGGAUGGAAACCGCGUUUUAGAGUGUAAGAGCACAAGCCGGCUUUACUGCGAGACCGACGGGUCGAGCAGUCUCGAAAGAGGGCUCUAGUGACCCUGCGCUUCUGUGUGGAAAGGGCGUAGCUCAUCGGAUAAAAGGUACCCCGGGGAUAACAGGCUUAUCGCUCCCGAGCGUCCAUAGCGGCGGAGCGGUUUGGCACCUCGAUGUCGGCUCAUCGCAUCCUGGGGCUGUAGGCGGUCCCAAGGGUUGGGCUGUUCGCCCAUUAAAGCGGUACGCGAGCUGGGUUCAGACCGGCGUGAGCCAGGUCGGUCCCUAUCUGUCGUGGGCGUUCCAGACUUGACAGGAGUCAACCUUAGUACGAGAGGACUGGGUUGGACCGACCCCUGGUGUUCCAGUUGGGCCGCUAGGCCCACAGCUGGGUAGCUACGUCGGGCAGGGAUAACCGCUGAAAGCAUCUAAGCGGGAAGCCCCCCUGGAGAUGAGGUCUGGUUGCAUUCGCGUGAGACCCCCGGUAGACCACCGGGUUGAUAGGCCGCAGGUGUAAGGGCUGAGAGGCCCUCAGCUGAGCGGUACUAACGGUCGAAGGUUUGACCACCCCUACC